GCGGUGGAGCCUCCCAAGGUUUGGGUGGACGUUGAAGUGAGAGAGAACUAGAGCGUACCGUUAACCCUGCAGUUGAGGAGAUGCAGUGCACGCAUGGUACCUCAUCAUUACCGGCAUUGGCCAGCGCUCCAUAAGACUCUUGAUGAGGUCAACCGCUACUGUGGAAGUGGUGUGCUCCUCCUACCGAUGUCACUCGAAUGUGCCAGACAUGGCCAUCAUGGACGAUGGAGUGAUGGGUGACGCUUUCUGUCCCCAUGAGAGAGGCCUUUUCCGUGUCUGUCAGGAUCCAUUGAGAUUCAGAAGAGAGAUGGGCCCUUGUGCACCCCCCUUCCCACAUACCUCACCCCUUCCCACCCCUGUGUCAAUCAUCGUCUCCCUCUUUUGCCCGUUUGUAACGGGCCAAGUUUGGAUAAUUUGGGCCCAUUCACGAAUUCCUCGAUCGAAACCACUUAGGACCGCACACAGACUUUACGUUUUUUUCUAGCGCUUUCAGUAGAAAAGCGC